AUCCAGCUGAUGAGUCUCAAAUAGGACGAAACGUACAUCCUGGAU
rnacentral:hammerhead_ribozyme from 1 species